UCGUAACAAGGUCUCCGUUGGUGAACCAGCGGAGGGAUCAUUACCGAGUUAUACAACUCAUCAACCCUGUGAACAUACCUAAACGUUGCCUCGGCGGGAACAGACGGCCCCGUGAAACGGGCCGCCCCCGCCAGAGGACCCCCUAACUCUGUUUCUAUAAUGUUUCUUCUGAGUAAAACAAGCAAAUAAAUUAAAACUUUCAACAACGGAUCUCUUGGCUCUGGCAUCGAUGAAGAACGCAGCGAAAUGCGAUAAGUAAUGUGAAUUGCAGAAUUCAGUGAAUCAUCGAAUCUUUGAACGCACAUUGCGCCCGCCAGUAUUCUGGCGGGCAUGCCUGUUCGAGCGUCAUUACAACCCUCAGGCCCCCGGGCCUGGCGUUGGGGAUCGGCGGAGCCCCCCGUGGGCACACGCCGUCCCCCAAAUACAGUGGCGGUCCCGCCGCAGCUUCCAUCGCGUAGUAGCUAACACCUCGCGACUGGAGAGCGGCGCGGCCACGCCGUAAAACACCCCAACUCUUCUGAAGUUGACCUCGAAUCAGGUAGGAAUACCCGCUGAACCUAAGCAUAUC
rnacentral:misc_RNA from 1 species